GUGGGAGUGGUGGCUACAGGAACCCAUCGGAGCCAAACUUGGGGCCAGGAAGUCCCUCACAGCUCGGUGCGGCUGUAUUGAGGGUAGGACCAGCCCCGUUAGCUUUCCUCCUCUGCCGUCCUGCCACAGACUCCACAGUGGCCCAGUCAAGGGCACGCCACUGUCUGAAUGGACAGUGAAUGAGCCCAGCCACCAAACCCAGCGUGGGGAGCCUGGGAAGCACCCACAUGGGGUGGCUGUGGAUGCCGGGCUCAGCUCACAUGCAGACACAUGGGUCUAAUGAUCACACCACAGACUUGGGGAACUGUGGACCAGCCUCGGGUCCCAGACCAAAGACCAGCAGCUCUGAAGACAGGAGUCCACGCAGGUGGGAGCAGUGUGGGCCCGACCCUCACAGGACCAAGUGCCUGCUAACCAAAGACACCCACGCAGGCGGGAACAAUGUGGGCCCGACCCUCACGGGACCAAGUGCCUGCUAACCAGACUUCAACAUUUCCCACAGGAUUCAAACAUGACCCAGAUCUCAUAAAGUCAUAUUCAAAAUGUCUAGAAUAUAGCCCAAAAUUACUUGACACACGAAGAACCACAACAUUUCAGCUUCAGCUGGGCACCGCGGCUCACACCUGUAACCUUAGUCCCCUGGGAGGCCACGGCUGCAGGGAGCAAUGACUGGGCCGCUGUACUCCAGCCUGGGUGACGGAGACCCUGUUUCUAAAAAAAAAUAAAAUAAAAAAUUCAAUGUGCAAA
rnacentral:sRNA from 1 species